AAAUGUAACCAAACAGUUGUUCCCUUGUCGAAUAAAACGUAAUUUAAAGCGUCUUUGGUGUUCCCAUGGUUUCUACAAAAUAACCAAGAGUAACGCGGAUGUGACGCCAUUGACAGGCGACUCCUGGACACGUCCCAGAUCCUCGGUUAAAAUCGCAAUUUUUUUAGGAUUAACAUAGUUAGAAACAUUUGGGAUAUUGGGAGAAGUUACCCUCUGGUUGACCUGGUUGACGCGUCCUCACUGUUACCUUCUCCGCCACGGAAGGUACAAGAAGUCUUUAACCUGGCACUGGAGGCAAGAAUGAUGGUUGGCCUGCCAAGACUGGUGUCUGUUUAGAAAGAAACAUCCAAGGUUAACAAAAGGAGAACAAAAGCCAUAUAGAGUGAGAUACAAUGGAUGAUCUGUAAUGGAACAUACCAGCUGUGUUAUGGAUGACUGGUUGGCUCCAGGCUCCACUGUCGCUGUCAGUGUCUGCUCGGACCGCAAACUCAUACAGAGCAUCUGGUUUGA